AUUGGCUUCUGUUGGCGCGUUGGAUCCCUGCUCAGGCAGCGACAACGUGCGACACAAGCCUCUUCAGUUGUUGGCUCUAGCAUGUAUCGUCCGUUGUCGGUUUCUUGUGUUGAAUACCUACUUGAAAGGCAUUAUUCGGUUGGUUGCAAAUGAUUCGACUCCGCCUUGUGCUGCGUGCCCCUUGGGGAUGCGGUGUCGGGUGGACCUCGAAGCACGCUAUGUGUACCAUGUCUCUUGCACAACCUUGUGCUCGAUUCGUUGGCCCAUGUUGCCGUGCGCGGUCUCUUGGAUAUGGAACAUUGUGCGGGCACGAGGUCCUCGGCCUCUAUCUUGCCCAAAUGCAAGCGUUCUACGCUUCGUGCGAACGACUUCCGCGGGUGUUGUGAUCGGGUCCUCGUGGCCUUGGUCAUGCGC
rnacentral:misc_RNA from 1 species